GAUGAAGAACGUAGCGAAAUGCGAUAAUUAAUGUGAAUUGCAGAAUUCCGUGAAUCAUCGAGUCUUUGAACGCACAUUGCGCCUCAUGGCAUUCCGUGAGGCAUGCCCAUCUCAGCGUUAGAAAAUAUUCUCAAAUUUUAGUUUUGUGCUAAAAUUUGGAUCAUGUCAAGGAAGCUAUUACUAUUAUUGUGAUCGCUCUUUGGAAAUUGAUAGGUCUUUGAGUUGCUACUCAUAGAACGUGAUGAAUCUUUCUUCGUUCUAUUGUAAUUCACUCUGGUAGUCCUAAAACUUGUAUGCCUGUGGCAUAUCUUGUAAUUUGACCUGAGAUUGGGUAGGGAUACCCGCUAAACUUAAGCAUAUCAAUAAGCGGAGG
rnacentral:misc_RNA from 1 species